rnacentral:rRNA from 1 species
CAGUAGGGUGCCAUCAAGAGGUGUAUUUG